rnacentral:rRNA from 1 species
AACAACGCGGCGGGGCGCUUAUGCUGCAAGUCGAGCGAAGCUUUUCAGUAUUUACUACGGAAAAUGACUGACGGCGAACGGGUGAGUAACGCGUGAGCAAUCUACCUUAGUUACAGGGAUAGCCCGAGGAAACUCGGAUUAAUACCUGAUAUUCUUUAUUUCUCGCAUGAGAAUAAAAGGAAAGGUCAGCCGAACUAAGAUGAGCUCGCGUUCUAUCAGCUAGUUGGUGAGGUAAAAGCUCACCAAGGCUACGACGGAUAGCUGGUCUGAGAGGACGAUCAGCCACACUGGGACUGAGACACGGCCCAGACUCCUACGGGAGGCUGCAGCAGGGAAUAUUGCGCAAUGAGCGAAAGCUUGACGCAGCGACACCGCGUGUGGGAUGACGGAUCUAGGUUUGUAAACCACUUUCAGGAGGGAAGAAAAUGACGGUACCUCCACAAGAAGCCCCGGCCAACUACGUGCCAGCAGCCGCGGUAAUACGUAGGGGGCGAGCGUUGUCCGGAUUUAUUGGGCGUAAAGAGCUCGUAGGCGGUUCAACAAGUCGGUCGUGAAAGUUCAGGGCUCAACCCUGAAAUGUCGAUCGAUACUGUUGCGACUAGGAUACGGUAGAGGUGAGUGGAAUUCCGAGUGUAGCGGUGAAAUGCGUAGAUAUUCGGAGGAACACCAAUUGCGAAGGCAGCUCACUGGGCCGCUAUCGACGCUUAAGAGCGAAAGCUAGGGGAGCAAAGCGGAUUAGAUAUCCCUGGUAGUUCUAAGUUGUAAACGAUGGAUACUAGACGUCGGAACUGGUUG